CGGAGGGUGCAAGCGUUAUCCGGAUUCACUGGGUUUAAAGGGUGCGUAGGUGGGUCUGUAAGUCCGUGGUGAAAUCUCCGAGCUUAACUUGGAAACUGCCAUGGAUACUAUAGAUCUUGAAUACUGUGGAGGUCAGCGGAAUAUGUCAUGUAGCGGUGAAAUGCUUAGAUAUGACAUAGAACACCAAUUGCGAAGGCAGCUGGCUACACAAAUAUUGACACUGAGGCACGAAAGCGUGGGGAUCAAACAGGAUUAGAUACUCUGGUAGUCCACGCCCUAAACUAUGGAUACUCGACAUACGCGAUACACCGUGUGUGUCUGAGCGAAAGCAUUAAGUAUCCCACCUGGGAAGUACGAUCGCAAGAUUG
rnacentral:rRNA from 1 species